rnacentral:rRNA from 1 species
AGAGUUUGAUCUUGGCUCAGGACGAACGCUGGCGGCGUGCCUAAUACAUGCAAGUCGAACGAGAAUUGCUUACACCGAGUGCUUGCACUCACCGUAAGGAAUUCGAGUGGCGGACGGGUGAGUAACACGUGGGUAACCUGCCUAUCAGAGGGGGAUAACACUUGGAAACAGGUGCUAAUACCGCAUAAUAUUGAAAAGCGCAUGCUUUUCAAUUAAAAGGCGCUUCUGGUGUCACUGAUAGAUGGACCCGCGGCGUAUUAGCUAGUUGGUGAGGUAACGGCCUACCAAGGCAAUGAUACGUAGCCGAGUUGAGAGACUGAUCGGCCACAAUGGGACUGAGACACGGCCCAUACUCCUACGGGAGGCAGCAGUAGGGAAUCUUCCACAAUGGGCGCAAGCCUGAUGGAGCAACGCCGCGUGCGUGAAGAAGGUCUUCGGAUCGUAAAGCGCUGUUGUUAGAGAAGAACACGGAUAAGAGUAACUGUUUAUGCGUUGACGGUAUCUAACCAGAAAGUCACGGCUAACUACGUGCCAGCAGCCGCGGUAAUACGUAGGUGGCGAGCGUUGUCCGGAUUUAUUGGGCGUAAAGGGAACGCAGGCUGUUUUUUAAGUCCGAUGUGAAAGCCUUCGGCUUAACCGAAGAAGUGCAUUGGAAACUGGGAGACUUGAGUGCAGAAGAGGAGAGUGGAACUCCAUGUGUAGCGGUGAAAUGCGUAGAUAUAUGGAAGAACACCAGUGGCGAAAGCGGCUCUCUGGUCUGUAACUGACGCUGAGGUUCGAAAGCAUGGGUAGCGAACAGGAUUAGAUACCCUGGUAGUCC